UACGGAGGGUGCAAACGUUGCUCGGAAUCAUUGGGCGUAAAGCGCACGUAGGCGGCUCGUUAAGUCGGAUGUGAAAGCCCCGGGCUCAACCCGGGAAGUGCAUUCGAAACUGGCGAGCUUGAAUGCCGGAGAGGGUCGCGGAAUUCCCGGUGUAGUGGUGGAAUGCGUAGAUAUCGGGAGGAACACCAGUGGCGAAGGCGGUUGCCUGGGGCUUUGCUGACGCUGAUGCGCGAAAGCGUGGGGAGCGAUCCGG
rnacentral:rRNA from 1 species